UACGUAGGGUGCAAGCGUUGUCCGGAAUUAUUGGGCGUAAAGAGUUCGUAGGUGGCCAACUAAGUCAGACGUGAAAUCCCUCGGCUUAACCGGGGAACUGCGUCUGAUACUGGACGGCUUGAGUUUGGGAGAGGGACGCGGAAUUCCAGGUGUAGCGGUGAAAUGCGUAGAUAUCAGGAGGAACACCGGUGGCGAAGGCGGCGCUCUGGGCCGGAACUGACGCUGAGGAGCGAAAGCGUGGGGAGCAAACAGG
rnacentral:rRNA from 1 species